rnacentral:rRNA from 1 species
GACGUAGGGCGCGAGCGUUGUCCGGAUUUAUUGGGCGUAAAGAGCUCGUAGGCGGUUCGGUAAGUCGGGUGUGAAACCUCCAGGCUCAACCUGGAGAUGCCACCUGAUACUGCUGUGACUCGAGUCCGGUAGGGGAGCGUGGAAUUCCUGGUGUAGCGGUGAAAUGCGCAGAUAUCAGGAGGAACACCAGCGGCGAAGGCGGCGCUCUGGGCCGGAACUGACGCUGAGGAGCGAAAGCGUGGGUAGCAAACAGG